CGGCCUUAUAAGUCCGCUGUGAAAUCUGGUAGCUCAACUAUCAGAAGUGCGGUGGAUACUAUAAGGCUUGGGACCGGAAGGCGUCGAGGCUAUUCCUGGAGUAGGGGUGAAAUCCAAAAAUUCCAGGAGGAGCACCGGUGGCGAAAGCGCUCGGCGAUUACGGGUCCGACGGUGAGGGACGAAAGCCAGGGGAGCAAAAGGGAUUAGAUACCCCUGUAGUCCUGGCUGUUAACGAUGCCCACUUGAUGUGAGGAAUCUUCCGAGGAUUCCUCGUGCCAAAGGAAAACCGUUAAGUGGGCCGCCUGGGGA
rnacentral:rRNA from 1 species